rnacentral:lncRNA from 1 species
AGCCAUGCCGGAGGGAUAUGCCCAGGCAAAGGUGUGGCCAGGCUGUGAACCCGAGGAGCUCAGGUUCUAGGGGUAGUACACUGAGGGUGGGGGUGGCAAGGGCAGGAGAGUGCAGUUCUGUGGCGGAAAGACCUAGCGUUCCGUUAUGGGCAGCUACUAACUGGGGCUCCAUUCCACGUACCCAGGUCGCACCCGUGCCCUGCAUGCCUGCCAUCAUGCUUCUUGCUUCACCGUGCCACAGCCGCAGGUCCUUUCCAUUAUGUCUGACAGCCCUAGGGCAGCAUCUCCAUUGCUGGCCCUACCCCUGCAUUUGAGAAUCAAUCUAGGGUGUUAAUUUUUUUUUUUUUUUUGGUUCUUUUUUUCUUUCGGAGCUGGGGACCGAACCCAGGGCCUUGCACUUCCUAGGUAAGCGCUCUACCACUGAGCUAAAUCCCUAGCCCCGGGUGUUAAUAUUUUUAAAUUACUAUAUAUUUGUUUUCCAGAUGAAUGGAAGACAUUUGCACUCACAGGCAGGACACAAAAAAGAAUGCUCAACAAAUAAAGAUAUGAGGUAUUCAGUUUUCCUUCCCCUCAGGUAAGGGAGAGAGAUUAAUUAGGAUUGGGAGAUAGGACAGGUGCAGAUAGAGGUGAAAGAGGGAAAAAAAAAGGA